rnacentral:snoRNA from 1 species
UUUUUGCUUGAAAGAAAUCCUCUUUCAGGCAAAUGAAUAAAUGAGGCAAGAAAAAACACCAUUAUGAGCACAUACCAACCAAGCUGCAUGCAAAUUUCUAGCACAGAUUGGGUGAUGCAGCAGAAACA